rnacentral:lncRNA from 1 species
GGGGGAAUAGGUUCUCUUGGAGCUAAGUUAGCCUUAUUAGGUCAUUUCGAGGAUAAUUAUCUAAGUAUAUGUCAUUUUGGAGCUAAUUAUGUCAUUUCGAGGAUAAUUAGCUAAGUAUAGGUCAUGUUUUAUUAAAUAGACCAUUUUGGAGCUAAUAAGCUAAUUAUGUCAUUUAGGUGGAAGCCUAGCUAACUAUAGGUCAU